GACCCGCUAGCUCAUCCGGUAGAGCAACGGCCUUUUAAGCCGUGGGCGCUUGGUUCGAGUCCAAGGCGGGUCACCA
rnacentral:tRNA from 2 species